rnacentral:lncRNA from 1 species
CCACCCAUACUCCGUCGUCCGCCGUCAUCGUCCACCACAAGUUCCAGCAACCCUCCCCGAAUCUUGUUAUCACCAGAUUCCUCCGUUAACAAUUGGCGCUAGAAGGAGGGGCUUUUUGACAUCUAUUGGAGGAAGGAUGUCACAUGAGACGAAGCACGACGCUGUCAAUCUAAGAAAGGGAAGGAAGACCUCGGAGACUCCGGCUACCAAUCAGCUACCGUCGCCUCCCUUGACGUCCGGAACCAGCUAUCCAGAACAUCUUGAAGGAAAGGAUAUUCAGAGGACAUGGAGCGCUGGACAUCAGCAUUAUUAUCAGGAAAGUUCAUAUUCUCCUUCUCUAAAUUUGUGGUUAUAUUUUCUAUUUUGAUAUUUGCGUAAUAGUCCUGGAAUCGAUGAGAUCACUCCCAAGACUCGGGGGUAGCAAUGGUACGUUCCCUCCGACCACACUAUCAUGUAAGCAUGCUAUUGACAACAAAUUUAGAACCUUUUGUGUAUCUUUUUUCGAAUCUAUAUAUUUGUGUCUUGUUUGGAGCGUGAAGACCAGGGACAACCUCCCUGCUGCUUUGGAAUUCGUCUUCAUGUGUAAUCGAGGCACAUGUUUGACACCCUCGGGAUGCCUGGACAACCAUCUUCAUAAGAUGGUUCGAAAGAAUUCCUAUGCCCUGGUGGCCCGUACUUCCGGUAAACCAUCAGGAAGACCCUCAGGGGUGCAGCUUUGGAAAACCCUCAGGGGUUGGAGUUUUUAUUCGAAAAUAUUUUUUAUUUGUUCGUCCCCAAGUGCGGUGGAGGGCGACGACCCACCUACUUGGAUGCCUGGGAUCUAAGUGGAUGAUGUCCCUACUGUCCCAGAGGUUUAUGUUCCCCAAGUGUGGUGGAGGGCGACGACCCACCUACUUGGAUGCUUGGAAUCUAAGUGGAUGAUUUCCCUACUGUUCCAGAGGUUGUUUUUCCCCAAGUGUGGUGGAGGGAAACGACCCACCUACUUGGAUGCCUAGGAUCUAAGUGGAUGAUGUCCCUACUGUCCUAGAUGCCUGGGAUUUAAGUAGAUGAUUUCCCUACUGUCCCGGAGGUUGAUCGUCCCCAAGUGCGG